UACGAAGGGGGCUAGCGUUGCUCGGAAUCACUGGGCGUAAAGCGCACGUAGGCGGGUUCUUAAGUCAGGGGUGAAAUCCUGGAGCUCAACUCCAGAACUGCCUUUGAUACUGGGAAUCUCGAGUCCGGGAGAGGUGAGUGGAACUGCGAGUGUAGAGGUGAAAUUCGUAGAUAUUCGCAAGAACACCAGUGGCGAAGGCGGCGCUCUGGACCGAGACUGACGCUGAGGCGCGAAAGCGUGGGGAGCAAACAGG
rnacentral:rRNA from 1 species